UACGUAGGGCGCAAGCGUUAUCCGGAAUUAUUGGGCGUAAAGAGCUCGUAGGCGGUUUGUCGCGUCUGCUGUGAAAACUCGGGGCUUAACCCCGGGCCUGCAGUGGGUACGGGCAGACUAGAGUGCGGUAGGGGAGACUGGAAUUCCUGGUGUAGCGGUGAAAUGCGCAGAUAUCAGGAGGAACACCGGUGGCGAAGGCGGGUCUCUGGGCCGUAACUGACGCUGAGGAGCGAAAGCAUGGGGAGCGAACAGG
rnacentral:rRNA from 1 species